GGAGGAAUAUUGGUCAAUGGGCGCAGGCCUGAACCAGCCAAGUCGCGUGAGGGAAGACGGUCCUACGGAUUGUAAACCUCUUUUGUCGGGGAGUAACGUGCGGGACGCGUCCCGUAUUGAGAGUACCCGAAGAAAAAGCAUCGGCUAACUCCGUGCCAGCAGCCGCGGUAAUACGGAGGAUGCGAGCGUUAUCCGGAUUUAUUGGGUUUAAAGGGUGCGCAGGCGGCGCGCCAAGUCAGCGGUCAAAGUUCCGGGCUCAACCCGGUGUCGCCGUUGAAACUGGCGUGCUCGAGUGCGUGCGAGGAAGGCGGAAUGCGUUGUGUAGCGGUGAAAUGCAUAGAUAUGACGCAGAACUCCGAUUGCGAAGGCAGCUUUC
rnacentral:rRNA from 1 species